rnacentral:snRNA from 1 species
GGUUGAGGCUUUAAGGCC